GUUUUCUCUUUCAUGUGAAGUGAAAUGGCUGUAGCCUAAUGUCCUUCUGAAAUCAAGAGACACAUCUUCACUUUCCAGACUGGGACCAGACUUUUGUGCCACGUUGUGACAUGCACACAUGCACACACAGGAAAGGACUUGGCUUGUGCCCACAUGCCUUUCUUCAGGGACAAGUGGGAAUGGACAUAAGGAGCGUCUCAUCCUUACGUGGCCUCCUUUGUCUUCCUCCUUCCUGGCCAAGACGGUGAUUUACUGCCCAAAGACAAGUCCAUCUGAAGCAAGAACUGACUAUCGAGGACUCUGUAGUGACUGAUAAACUGGGAAGAGAAAAUUGGACCAGAGACUUCAAGGCAGCUCUCAGACAAGAAUAUUCCAGUGCCAGAGAGAAAGACAUUAAAAAUGAAGAGACAUGCAGAGAGUGCACCAUGCCAUCGUGGAGACAGACUGAAGUGACACAACUGUUAGUCAAAGAGGAUUAAGGACUUCCAGAAGCCACCAAAGGAAGGAGAUGGCUGUCUUCAUAUUUGUUCUAGACAUUGGUUCUACUCAAGUCAAGGCAAGUCAUCUGACCUUCACCAAGAAAGUCCAGCAUCCAGGAAAGGAAAUUGUAUGUUUGGAUAUGUGAAGAAGCAGAACUGUCUAGAGACUUGCUCAAGUGGAAGUCACCUCUCACACCUGCCCUAUGCAGUCAGGCCUUCUGUGCACACAAUCAAUUGCCUGGAUUAAUGUCACAGGAAAUCCACUCUACUGAUCAGCUGUGCUGGCUCUCCACAGUCUCCAUCGUUGUGAGGAUCCAUCUGCUCUCCCUGGGAGAUGAAGCCAAUGCCUCCCAUGCUGGGCUCCCUGGGGAUCAUCUCUCAGUGUGGAGAGCCUGCUCCAGCCCCUGAAGUGGAAAGCUACUACUUAACCAAACACACAGCCUAACAGCUGGGAUUAAAUGACCUGAAAGGUAAAAUCUCUGCCUCCAGCAAACAGAAUUACCAAUUAGGCUUUGUUGUCAAGCCAUGUGUAUGCUGUAAAAACAGGUUAAGCCAUGGUGAGAAUGUGCUAUGCUUACACAGCUGUCUGGGAUUAAUUAGUGAGGGUAUGUCUGGGAUAGCUGCAUGUUUUGAUCAAGCCAAUUCUCUCUAACUCCCACAUGUGUGUGUCUACUUGUAUCCUUGAGUCAUUUCUGAAUAUGUUAAAGAAAAGGAACUACAGACGAAUACAUGUUCUUUUUACUGA
rnacentral:lncRNA from 1 species